CGAAGGGGGCUAGCGUUGCUCGGAAUUACUGGGCGUAAAGGGCGCGUAGGCGGACAGUUUAGUCAGAGGUGAAAGCCCAGGGCUCAACCUUGGAAUUGCCUUUGAUACUGGCUGUCUUGAGUUCGGGAGAGGUGCGUGGAAUGCCGAGUGUAGAGGUGAAAUUCGUAGAUAUUCGGCGGAACACCAGUGGCGAAGGCGACUCACUGGCCCGAUACUGACGCUGAGGCGCGAAAGCGUGGGGAGCAAACAGGAUUAGAUACCCUGGUAGUCCACGCUGUAAACGAUGAGUGCUAGUUGUCGGCAUGCAUGCAUGUCGGUGACGCAGCUAACGCAUUAAGCACUCCGCCUGGGGAGUACGGUCGCAAGAUUA
rnacentral:rRNA from 1 species